rnacentral:rRNA from 1 species
UAUUUAAUCUUAGUGGCGCACGGGUGAGUAAUAUAUAGCUAACUUGCCCAUUACUAAGGGACAACAGUUGGAAACGACUGCUAAUACCUUAUACUCCGUAUCUAUAUAAGUAGAUACGGGAAAGUUUUUCGGUAAUGGAUAGGGCUAUAUCGUAUCAGCUAGUUGGUAAGGUAAUGGCUUACCACGGCUAUGACGCGUAACUGGUCUGAGAGGAUGAUCAGUCACACUGGAACUGAGACACGGUCCAGACUCCUACGGGAGGCAGCAGUAGGGAAUAUUGCUCAAUGGGGGAAACCCUGAAGCAGCAACGCCGCGUGGAGGAUGACACUUUUCGGAGCGUAAACUCCUUUUCUUGGGAAAGAAUUAUGACGGUACCCAAGGAAUAUAGCACCGGCUAACUCCGUGCCAGCAGCCGCGGUAAUACGGAGGGUGCAAGCGUUACUCGGAAUCACUGGGCGUAAAGGACGCGUAGGCGGAUUAUCAAGUCUCUUGUGAAAUCUAACGGCUUAACCGUUAAACUGCUUGGGAAACUGAUAAUCUAGAGUAAGGGAGAGGCAGAUGAAUUCUUGGUGU